UCCGGUUGAUCCCGCCGGACCCGACUGCCAUCAGAAUAGGACUAAGCCAUGCGAGUCAACGUAGCAAUACGUGGCAUACGGCUCAGUAACACGUAGUCAACAUGCCCAGGGGACGUGGAUAACCUCGGGAAACUGAGGAUAAACCACGAUAGGUCAUAAUAUCUGGAAUGAUUUAAGGCUAAAAUCUACAUGGCCCCUGGAUUGGACUGCGGCCGAUCAGGCUGUUGGUGAGGUAAUGGCCCACCAAACCUAAAACCGGUACGGGCUCUGAGAGGAGAAGCCCGGAGAUGGGCACUGAGACAAGGGCCCAGGCCCUAUGGGGCGCAGCAGGCGCGAAAACUCUGCAAUAGGCGAAAGCUUGACAGGGUUAUUCUGAGUGAUUUCCGCUAAGGAAAUCUUUUGGCACCUCUAAAAAUGGUGCAGAAUAAGGGGUGGGCAAGCCUGGUGUCAGCCGCCGCGGUAAUACCAGCACCCCGAGUGGUCGGGACGAUUAUUGGGCCUAAAGCAUCCGUAGCCGGUUCUACAAGUCUUCCGUUAGAUCCAUCUGCUUAACAGAUGGGCUGCGGAGGAUACUAUGGAGCUAGGAGGCGGGAGAGGCAAGCGGUACUUAGUGGGUAGGGGUAAAAUCCGUUGAUCCACUGAAGACCACCAGUGGCGAAGGCGGCUUGCCAGAACGCGCUCGACGGUGAGGGAUGAAAGCUGGGGGAGCAAACCGGAUUAGAUACCCGGGUAGUCCCAGCUGUAAACGAUGCAGACUCGGUGAUGAAUAGGCUUCGUGCCUUUUCAGUGCCGCAGGGAAGCCGUUAAGUCUGCCGCCUGGGGAGUACGGUCGCAAGACUGAAACUUAAAGGAAUUGGCGGGG
rnacentral:rRNA from 1 species